GUACGAGGGAGAGAAGAACGCCGCACGGAGACGCUGAUGGGCGCCACCUGCUGACCGCAGCUUUAGCCUAAAAUGCUAAAAGGAGCAGACCUUUAGACACAUUUACAUUCAAGCCCCCGUGUGUGUGCUGCAAACUCAACAAAACCCCAUCUGGUUGAACCUGGCCAUCUCUAAGUCAAAAGAAAAUGCUGUUAAGAUUCUAAAAUAAGAAAAAUGUGGAUGUCCAGCUGGUCUGGACCAAAGUCAACCUAUGUCACGGCAGAGCUGCUUGAAGGCACGAUGGACGUGUGAGUGGGAAAUUUGCUUGCCAGGAGCCGGUGGUCUGUCCCUGCACAGAACUUCAGCUGCUGCACGAAUCUCCAAGAAAAGUUUGACAUUUUGAUCACACAACACAACGGGGCAGGAGGUUAUAAUCCAUAGUUACGAGGAGCGGUUGCUAGGUGCGUUGCCGAGAUACAGACCCUUCUCUCCACUGGUGCUACGUAGGAGGCCACGGGGUCCUUGAUGACGGCAGAGAGAUGAGGGACGGGUGAAAGGAUGACAAGAGACAGGACAAUGAGGAUAGGAACAAGACGCACACACCUGACAGAGACUGUGAGAGCACAUGAGGCACAGAAAAAGGCUGAAAAUGGGAGCAGAGAAUGGAAAGUAAACACAAAAAGGAUAAUGCAGCCGUCUAAGUGGGCAAUCUCCACACCUCCAUUUACCGCAGCUACAUUUUAGUGGGUCUGUUUCUGUGUACGGUUGUGUGCAUCUGUUUCUCUGUGUGUAUUUGGGCUGGAUGUGAAAGAAAAAAGUAAGGAAGGUGUGGAAUCCACUUUUGACUCUGUGAAAAGCUUUCAAGUAAAAAAAAAGGAUGGUGAUAACAAAAGGGUGUGCAGGUAACUUCCAUUGCUGAAUCCUAUGUGUAUGUACAUAUUUUUCAGACUGGGUACUGGUUAAAAACUGAAAGAUUAAUGAGAGAGAAAGUUUGAGUAUGACCAGCUUUUCAAGUUGCCUUUUCUUUGACAUAACAACACUAGCAUCAUUAUUACAAUACGUGUUAUACCUAAAAAAAUGUUUUAUUUCUUUUGUCAGUUUCAAGCUAAUUAUGAUGCUGGGAUUGUAAAACUUUCCAGUUUUAGUGUUUGUCAAUGUCUCCACAUAUUCCCACAGAUGUUGCACACAGAGACAGGAACAGCUCUCUGUUAAUAGUGCUCAUGGCCAUAUAACCACCUGACUUACACAAGCGCUCAUCUUUUUUUUUUUUAGAGGCUGAUCCGAUUAGUAUGGUGAUGAUAGAAACCCAUGGGAGUACUUACUCCUCACGAGUUUUCUUGUUGGUAGAUAACACAAGUAUUCUUUGGUGCUGAAGCUGCAGGAGCCAUCUGCCGCUCCCAGCUCCAAUUAUCCCCAGCGUCUCCCCCAGGGGGCAGUAGCAGCGUGCACACGGCUACUAGGCAAAUCUUAGCCCUGACAUCAAAGAGACAGUGCUUCUGCUUCUGCAAGCAGCUACGGCUGCCCUCUCUCCUCCGUCUACCUCAGGACAAGUUUUCAGCAGUUUUUCAAAAAAGGAUAUUAACACAAUGUCACAGAAUGAGAAACCAACCUCAAAAGCAGAGGCAUUCAGCUCCCUUUGAAUAGGGAGCACAGCUCUAUACUGUGCCUUUCGCCUCCGACAAUGUUAUUAGGAAAAUAAUUCUCGCAAGCAAAUAAACAG